AGGGAAAGCGGUCAGUCUUCGUCCUUUGGUCUUCUUGACAAAAAGGAAAAAUAUGAUCUGACCAUCAAAGUCGACUUGGAAAUGAAACACGGUAGCGGUUCGUCUCUCCGAAACUCCGUGUUCUCAGUUACGUGUUCAACUCCCGUCUUCGAUCGGCAAAGUGAAAUCUCCGGCCUUCUUAGUCCAAAAACCUCAGUUAUAAAUUGUUCGUUGUCCAACGAGAGAGAAUGAAUGAAACUCUGCAAAGCUCUCUGCAAAGAUCUCCCCUCUUGAAGUGGCGCACUUCGAUCACUAGUCCGGUCCUAGCAGAAGGCAAGUUUUAAAAAAUAUAGCGUCCUGUGACGUCAGACUUGGGACGCCCAGUCAUAUCAGUCGCAAUGCUCGAUGGGAUAUGUAGGAGCGGGCUGUCCUGGGUACAAAAUGGCCGAUGCCAUUGGAGGGGCACAGUGACGUCCAACAACGUGCAGAUAGUCCAAUACUCAGCAAACAAGUGGUCCAACAACAGCAUAAAAGCUAACGCACUCUGGAUAUGUUGUGGUCCCUUCAAAACCUCCCCAAUCUCAGAGCCUCAGGUGGAAACAAGGGAAAUGCCACUGGACCUAAGGUGGCUGACCCUGUCAGGAUUUUAUUGGCUGAGUCUACGGGAACAUGAAGAGAAUCAGCCGACCAGUCGGUCAUCGCGUUCACAGUUUUGGGUGGGAAGCUAAUGAGCAGGCAAAUCAAGUGGGGAUAAUUAAUAUUCCACGCAAUACAUCUAUAGUAUGAUCAAUAAUUUUCCUAUUGUAAAUUUGAAGAUUAAGGAAAUAUUAAAGUUUAGAACCAGACAAAACUGGCAAAAGCACCAGUGUAUAUCCCCAAGUAUAAAAUCGUCAUCAAAAGAAGGACUUCUGUCAGUUUUCUUAGCAGAGAUUAUAACAAUCCUAACCCUAGCAAUCAUAUUGGCCCUAUCGUGGGUGGAGGAGGCAAAACCCAGUAAAUAUGUCUUGCUAGACAAGAGAUAUUCAGUGUCUUGUCUAGCAAGUGUUCAAACCGGAAAAUCAGCACAUUGACGAGAUCUUUUUAAAUCAAUAUAAUAUAAUACAAACCAUCAAAAAAUAUUCAACUCACAUUGUUUCUGGCACAUAAGGGGGUUUGAGGGAUAUGAAAGGGUGGAUAGACUAGCCAAAAAAGCCAACAAGGCAAGUGACACUGAACUUGAGGUCCCAUUAAGUAAAACAGAAAUUAAAGUAAUUAAAAAUAACAUAAAUAUUACAGUAUAGAUGGAACACAGGAGAAAGGAAGGCAUCUAUAUACUUUACAAAAGGAGGUAAUCACAAGAAGGGGCAGUGUAAUGAAGAGGUAAGAGGAAGUUUUUUUUGUUUUUCUUUUACCUCAAAUGCAAGUUAGAUUAAGUUAAUUUUCAGUCGAUCACUCCAGCAGAUGGCGGUAAUACAAUGCGAUUAUAAACCGCCAAACAAUCUACCAAAGAAGAAGUACUCCUGGACCAUUGUUCUUCUCCGUUUGCUUUCUGUCUUCUCAAACUUCCAACUGUUCACAACAGAUGGCCGCUUCUACCCCCUGGGGGAAAACACUGCUGGUUCUGCUAGAGGUUUCUUUCUGUUAAAAGAGGCGUCCAGAUCCUUUUGCUAAUAACAGCGACACAAGGAGCAUCAUCUGCUAUGACUGACGGACGAAGUUGUGUUGUUGCAUGUGAGAAGACAAGGAAUGAGGAUCUCAGUUACCACAGUGUGCCAAAGGCUCACGCCUCCAAAAGCGGACAUCAGGUACAUGAUGGUGAUGGCAACCUGCACCUCUGUGACGUCGACCCUGUGG